rnacentral:rRNA from 1 species
UACUAGAGUAGCACUUGCAUAUCAAUAAGCGGAGGAAAAGAAACUAACAAGGAUUCCCCUAGUAACGGCGAGUGAAGCGGGAAGAGCUCAAAUUUGAAAUCUUAAAGGGUUUCCCUUUACGAAUUGUAGUUUAAAGAAGUGUUUUCUGUUGAGGUUUGGUAAAAGUUCUUUGGAAUAGGACAUCAUAGAGGGUGAGAAUCCCGUAUUUGACCUUUACUUUCAACUUUGUGAUACACUUUCAAAGAGUCGGAUUGUUUGGGAAUGCAGUCCAAAAUGGGUGGUAAAUUUCAUCUAAAGCUAAAUAUUGGCGAGAGACCGAUAGCGAACAAGUACCGUGAGGGAAAGAUGAAAAGAACUUGAAAAGAGAGUUGAACAGUACGUGAAACUGUCAAAAGGGAAGCGUUUGACACCAGUGUUGUUUUUCUGAAAAUCAAUUAAAGAACUGUUUAUGCUAAGUUGUUUAGACUUUAUCAGCUAUCUGCUUAGUUUUGAGCUUUUCUUUAAUGCACUUUUCAGUUAACAAGUCAACAUCAAUUUCUUUUGCUGUAAAAAAGCUUGAGGAAGGUGGCUUGAGAUUCGUCUUAAGUGUUUAUAGCCUCUUGCCUAUGCAGUCGGAGAGAUUGAGGUCUGCAGCGUAGAUCCUUCGGGGCUAAAUGCAUUUGUGCUAAGUUAUAGCAUUUUAUAGACAACUUGUUGACUAUGAUUUGUCUUGUAGCUUACUCGCUUAUGUUAUUUUACCUACGCUUAGGAUGUUGAACUCUAUCACACACAG